AUGUUUGGUAAAGAAAAUUAGAUAAUACUGGACAAUAUCUUAUUUCAAUAUAUCUCGAUUUGUUUGUUCAUGACUUUAAUUCCCGAAUAUGAAUAUGCCAUGGAUCUUAGCUUAUACAACCACAGCUUGAAGCAAAAUUGAAUUUGCCAGCCACAACCCCGACAGUUUGGAGUAAUGCCAUUGUUAUUGUUCCUGUCGUUGUUAGUCCACCUCGUG
rnacentral:lncRNA from 1 species